CUAGUGUGUGUGUGUGUGUGUGUGUGUAAACAAUGAGUUAAUGACUCUGGGAAGCAUCUGGAGUCUCCUCUGGGAUCUUGUGUUACAGUAAGCCCAUGCACACACAGUUUCCCAAAAUUACAUAAACUAUGUAAUGAAUCAACAAUGCACUGAUGGGGGAGGGGGUCUCUCACAGUGUAAUCUACUAGUUGGACGCAUUGGACUCUUCACACCACCUGUAAAAGUAGGCAUAUUUCCACCUUUCGUUAAUCGUUAAGUAUUAUCAGCACUGAUGCUAAUCUUAAAACAGUUUUUUUUCCCCCCAGCAUGUCUAUGUAACAGAAAAGAAAUGUUUUGACAUCUUGUGGCCUCUACAGGCAAUUAUUAACCUUUUAAGGGCGGGUGUCAAUUAUACCCAAAUUUUAAGUAUUAUGGCUCGGUCCUUCGGAAACACUGCGCUGCUCACACGUCAUAUUUUUUUAAACCCGACGGUUUUUGUUGUGCCUCGAUGGAGGUCUACGCUCUACUGAAUGCUAUCCACUAAUUCCCACCGUCACCGAGUGGGACCGGAACGCACGCUGCCUGCAGAGAAGUCAGGCGAGUCAACCACUACAACCAUCAGUGACUCAGUCCGCAAUUUUCCUUGCUUCAUGUUUGUUUUGUGCCUUUUCAUCAACUGACUUUCCUCCUCCGAAGAAAUGGCUAAAAAUGGCUUUCAAGUUUUGGAGUUAUAAUGUCACCAAGAGAUUUGUUUGACUCACGCAGGUCAUCCAGCAGUGAGAGAUCUGAACUGAUCUCCGCCAGGCUCACGGUCGGGCUGAAGUCCUCCGAGUCUGAGUACUGCCUGACCUCUUCAACUUUGAGCCUUCUGCCGAGCCUGGGCGAGCCGUCUGGGACAACUGAGCGGAAAACAAAGCAUUGUAGACACCCAAAAAUUUGUGCAAGGGAUAUCUAAGGAUGUAUAUAGACUGUGUGGUUCAAGUGACACAAUUCAGAUUUCUUUCUCUCAAGUGGCACAAUUGGGAUAUGAGUCAUGGCACUCUAAAGAGAAAAAAAAACCACACACACAUAAUUGGAUAGCUUUAGAUGGGAAACAGGCCUGUGCCUGCUGUGCAGCUCAAUAAAUUACAAUAUUGUGGAAAACUCAAUUUAUUUCAGUAGUUCAAUUCAAAAAAGUCAAACUCAUAGAUUCACUGCACACAAACUAAAAUAUUUCCUGAUUUUGUUUUUGAUGAUUAUAACGUACAGCUAACAAAACAAAUUAUCCAUCAAGAAUUCAGAAUAUUACAUAAGAAAUAGAAAUUGGGCAGGAAUUGGCUUUCUGAAAAUCUUUUUCCAAUGUGUUUAAUGAAUCUGCACAGUACGAUUUUCACCUUUUGAAUUAAGCCACUGAAACAAAUUAAACUAUUUUAACUGUUCUACGAUAUUCUUAUGCACUUAUAAACACAUUAAAAUCACCUACUGUAAAUCGAAACUACAGCAAAAAGCAUACGCCAUUAUAUACAGUAUAAAUAAUAUGCUACAUAAGAUGUAUGUCCAUUAUUAAAUCAGGAACACAAUGUGAAGUAAUGUCAAAGUUACCCUUACUUAAAUCAGAGUCCAGGGUAAAAGCCACGCAACGUUUAAUAUUUGUAUUAUUUACAGUAUGUAUUGUUUAUUUCCGUAUUAUAUGUUGAUGUGUGCAGUUAUGUCCAAUAUGGCCGUCUGCACAUAUAGGUUGUUUCAUGUGUUUGUAAACAAAUGGAAAUUUAAAUAUGAGUCACUUGAAACGUACAGUCUAAAAAGAUUUGGGACACGGGUAUUAAAUGGGAAUUGGGCACUCGGGUCCCGCAGUGGAAAGCUCGGUCUUACUUUCUGGUAUCGCGGCUUGGAGCUUAUGCAGAUGCCUGACCUCGCCUUCCAAUUCGGACACAGUGGCGCUGUUAUGAGAUUGAGAAUUGCACGCCAGUGAAUCAGAGAGCAAACAUCCAGGACAUGCAAAAGUAGACACACGGUUACCUGAUGUGGCGGACCUCUUUUUGCGCAUACUCAAAGGCACUUUUGGCCAGAUCUGUACUGUGAGCUUUGUAGCUGUCAAUCAGCUCCUGGAGCAUCUGCUCGAAAAACAAGGAAAACGCAGCACUGAGAUAUGAAAUCCAUCCAUCCAUUUUCUGAGCCGCUUCUCCUCAACAGGGUCGCGGGCGUGCUGGAGCCUAUCCCAGCUGUCAUCGGGCAGGAGGCGGGGUACCCUGAACUGGUUGCCAGCCCAUCGCAGGGCACAUACAAACAAACAACCAUUCGCACUCACAGUCACACCUACAGGCAAUUUAGAGUCUCCAAUUAAUGCAUGUUUUUGUGAUGUGGGAGCAAACAAGAGCGCUGGGGAAAACUCUCUUUUUCUCUCUUUUUUCUUUUAUUUAUAGUAUAACUUUCAUAGGGACUGAGCCCUCAGCCAACAGCGCAAAAUCUUAAGUAAUUGACGCCCACCCUAAAUGUUUAGAAUUGCCUCAAAUGUAGCAUAAACUAUGACCCAAACAGUAAUAUUUCAGUCAUCUCACAUUACCCUUAAAAAUAAUAUAUGGUUUUCAGAUUAUUUUAUUUUGAAAAGAUGCUCAGAGGACUGUGGAAAAAUCAAAGGCAGGCUGACACCCUACUACAAACCUUAAUUUAAAAAACAAGUGUUAUAAAGUACAACGACACACCGGACGAGAAGGAAAAAAAAUGAAUGCACCUCAUGGCCGUGCUGGCACUGUCGCCGGCUCUCACGGGCCUCUUUCUCCUGGUGCAUCAUCGCUUCUUCUUGCCUCCCUUGUUCCACAGCACCAAUAAAAAAAAAUAACAACAAAAAAAACAAAUAAAAAAGACAGAGAGAUGAUGAUGUUUUGGGCAAGACCGUGCCUGCCUCUUUGCUUUGAAGCCCAACAAUGGGGCUCAGGACUUGUAUGGGCCUGCUGAUUCAGUGUGACUCACUCAGCCGAGUUUUCAGCUGGUCCACCUCUUUGCUCAGGUGUUCCAACUCCACUCGGCACACCUUGGAGCUCCAACUAGGGAAAGAGUGGAAUAUGUAUUGAGAAUUCUUACAAACUCUCUUGGGUGUAACUUUUUACCCACCUCUCCUUCGAAAAGAAUUGUACCAGUAAUGGAGAAAGAGGAACUUUUAAUAAUUGUGACAUGUUCAAUGGUUGAGACUGGAUGGAGGCUAAAUCCGCCCACUGGACGCCGGGACUGACUGGAAGAAGCUGCCGUGCACCAGGUGAUGGAGACCAAAUGGGAUGGCUGUCAAAAUCUGAAAUGGGAAUCUUCUCCCUGAAAGGGAAGAACUCUGAAGAGGAGGAGACGUAUUGUUGAAAGCUCACCACCAAUCAUGACUGCACUCUGCUAUUUCCCCCCUUAUCUUAUCUUUUUACGCAUAUACAGGAACUUUCACCCACCUUCUUCCCUUUUGCUUGAGUUCCCCAGUAAGGACAAUCGCCCCUGGGGACACAGAACAUGUCAAUAUUAAAAAGGCGAUUUCAGGGAUUUUACAUCUUCUCCAGGGUCAAAUUCAUGCAAUUUUAGGUGCGUGAUUUAUUUAGACUAAAUUGUCAAUUCAUUCAUCCACCAAUCCAUCCUCUAUACUGCUUAUCCUCACUAGCGUCGCGGGUGUGCUGAAGCCUAUCCCAACUGACUUUGGGCGAGAGGCGGGGUACACCCUGAACUGAUUGCCAGCCAAACACAGGGCACAUAUACACAAUCAUUCACACCUACAGAUAAUAUAGUCUUCAAUUAACCGACCAAGUAUGUUUUGGAAUGUGUGAGGAAACUGGAGUAACCGGAGAAAACCCACACAAGCACGGGGACAACAUGUCACCAAUUUAGAAUCAUGCCUUUUUUUUUUUUUUUAAUAAAUUGUAUUGUGCUACAAACAAUCAAAACAAUGUUCUGUCUGAAACUUCUGCUUGGAUUAAUAAAUGUACAGUAAU